rnacentral:rRNA from 1 species
GACGAACGCUGGCGGCGUGCCUAAUACAUGCAAGUAGGACGCAGGUGCGAACGGGAGAGCAACGCGUAGGUAACUACCUAUGAGAGGGGGAGAACUAUUGGAAACGAUAGCUAAUACCGCAUACUAGAAGAGGUACUUGCGUUGUAUUGGCUAGUAGGUAGGGUAAUGGCCUACCUAGGCAACGAUCCAUAGCCGAACUGAGGGGAUGAUCGGUCACACGGCGACUGGGACACUGCCCAGCCUCCUACGGGAGACAGCAGUGGGGAAUCUUCGGCAAGUGGCGGAAGCCUGACGAGCAACACCGCGUAAGUGCAGAAGGUGUUCGGCUCUUAAAACUCUGUUGUUAAGGCAGCGGUACUUAACCAGAAAGGAACGGCUAACUACGUGCCAGCAGCCGCGGUAAUUC